rnacentral:sRNA from 1 species
AGAGUCCAGGGAGGAGGAGGGAGAACAGUUCGGGCUGCCAGGAUGUUGUUUGGAGCAGGAACUCCUCAGUGGGCCAAAGUCUAUGACCUCAGAGAGGCAACCUCAUGAACAGAGCUUUCAGAACAUCUGGAAAGUUCCAUUGUUGGUGUCAUCCCCAUUAUGCUAUAAGGAAGUGUGAAUUUCAGACCAACUGGAUAGGAGAGGCACAUCCCUGGAGAAGCUGAAAGCUCUUUAUUCAUUUUUAAAAAAUAGCUACAAUUAGAGUGGACACCAUGGGUGACAUGGAUUGCUCAUCUCAGAAGAUCGCCAAAAGUGACUCCAUACAUCACAUGAGCCACUCCCAGGGGCAGCCAGAGCUGCCCCCUCUGCCUGCUUCUGCUAAUGAGGAACCGUCUGGACUCUAUCAGACUGUCAUGUCACACAGCUUUUACCCGCCCUUGAUGCAACGCACAUCAUGGACCUUGGCUGCACCCUUCAAAGAGCAGCAUCACCACCGUGGACCCAGUGAUUCCAUCGCCAACAACUACUCCUUGAUGGCCCAGGACCUGAAGCUGAAAGACCUGCUGAAGGUCUACCAACCGGCCACCAUCAAUGUCCCUAGGGACAGGACCGGUCAGGGGCUGCCAUCAUCAGCAAAUAGAAGCUCAUCAGAGCCCAUGAGGAAGAAAACAAAGUUUUCCUCCAGAAACAAAGAGGAUUCCACUAGGAUCAAGUUGGCCUUGAAGACGUCAAUCUUCUCACCCAUGAAGAAGGAGGUAAAGACAUCUUUGACGUUCCCAGGAAGCAGACCAAUGAGUCCAGAACAGCAGCUCGAUGUCAUGUUACAGCAGGAGAUGGAAAUGGAAAGUAAAGAAAAGAAGCCGUCUGAAUCGGACCUGGAGGUACGUUCCUUUUGCCCCCUGCCCCGCCAUUUGCUGAGGGUUACUCUCAGCAUCUCAGUGAUUCUAAAUUCAGGGAGAACAGCAGAAUCACUUGGGAAAUGUUUGAAAAACACCAAAGUCUAGACCCUAGACAGGCUACUGAAGAGGGCGCAUGUUUGUGUGCUUGUGCGAGUGAGAGAGAAAGAGAGUGUGUGUACAUGUUUUCUGCCCUAGUAAGUGAUGCAAAUUGAUACCUUGGGUCGUUUUAGAAUAUAAGUUGCCAAAAUGGUGGCCUAUAGGCUAGGGGUGCCAGAUUUUGCAAGACAAAAAAUGGGACACAUAGUU